AGUGAACGCUGGCGGUAGGCCUAACACAUGCAAGUCGAACGGCAGCACAGUAAGAGCUUGCUCUUACGGGUGGCGAGUGGCGGACGGGUGAGGAAUACAUCGGAAUCUACUUUUUCGUGGGGGAUAACGUAGGGAAACUUACGCUAAUACCGCAUACGACCUACGGGUGAAAGCAGGGGAUCUUCGGACCUUGCGCGAUUGGAUGAGCCGAUGUCGGAUUAGCUAGUUGGCGGGGUAAAGGCCCACCAAGGCGACGAUCCGUAGCUGGUCUGAGAGGAUGAUCAGCCACACUGGAACUGAGACACGGUCCAGACUCCUACGGGAGGCAGCAGUGGGGAAUAUUGGACAAUGGGCGCAAGCCUGAUCCAGCCAUACCACGUGGGUGAAGAAGGCCUUCGGGUUGUAAAGCCCUUUUGUUGGGAAAGAAAAGCAGCAGGUUAAUACCCCGCUGUUCUGACGGUACCCAAAGAAUAAGCACCGGCUAACUUCGUG
rnacentral:rRNA from 1 species